UACGUAGGGUGCAAGCGUUAAUCGGAAUUACUGGGCGUAAAGCGUGCGCAGGCGGUUAUGCAAGACAGAUGUGAAAUCCCCGGGCUUAACCUGGGAACUGCAUUUGUGACUGCAUAGCUGGAGUACGGCAGAGGGGGAUGGAAUUCCGCGUGUAGCAGUGAAAUGCGUAGAUAUGCGGAGGAACACCGAUGGCGAAGGCAGUCCCCUGGGCCUGUACUGACGCUCAUGCACGAAAGCGUGGGGAGCAAAC
rnacentral:rRNA from 1 species